rnacentral:other from 1 species
ACUGCCUAAUAUUAUUGGCAUAUGCUUAGCACAAAUUCACUGUGUAAUGCCAUACAUGUAAAUUGCUGUGUGUAGUCUUUGCCCGUCGCCUACGAUGGGCUUUUUUUUUA